rnacentral:tRNA from 1 species
AUUUUAAUAGCUUAUUUAAGUAGCGUUGUGCUGAAGAUACAAAGGAGAAUUAUUUUCUUAAAAUA